rnacentral:lncRNA from 1 species
AGUUGUAGAAGUUAGUUUGAGUGCCAGACUAUGAUAGUCAUGAGAUGGGGUAAGCUUGGUGCUACCUCUUUGUUUCUUUAUUUCUUUGCUAUUGAAAAAUAAUAGAUAGUUUUUGAAUACUAAGAAGUGAGUCUGUAGAAUAAAUCAGAGAUUGAUUUAUGAGUUAUUGAUUAUGUAAUUAAAGCACUAAGUGAUUGAAUUAUAUGAGGAGUUAUUGAAAGAUUAUGAUUGUUGUUUAUUGAGAGUUGUGUGUGUUCCACCAAAGGAAAUUUGUGAUAAUAGAAAUUAUGUGAAUUCAAAUUGGUUGGAGUGAAGUUUGUUAUUUUUGGUGUUGGAUGGAAAUUAUGUAUUUUGAGAGGUCUUUUGAGAGUGCAGGAUUGCACACUAUUGUUAUUAGUUGAUGAAGGAGUAUUGUUACUAGGAGAAAGCAUUAUAGUAU